rnacentral:rRNA from 1 species
CAAUAGCGUAUAUUAAAGUUGUUGCAGUUAAAAAGCUCGUAGUUGAAUUUUUGCUUGCCGCCGAUGUCGGAACUUCCGUACGUUCGGCGGCGUGCAUCCUUGGGUGGAACCUGUGUGGCAUUAGGUUGUCGUGCAGGGGAUGCUCAUCGUUUACUGUGAAAAAAUUAGAGUGUUCAAAGCAGGCUUACGCCGUUGAAUAUAUUAGCAUGGAAUAAUAAGAUAGGGCCUUGGUACUAUUUUGUUGGUUUGCGCACCGAGGUAAUGAUUAACAGGGACAGUUGGGGGUAUUCGUAUUCCAUUGUCAGAGGUGAAAUUCUUGGAUUUCUGGAAGACGAACUACUGCGAAAGCAUUUACCAAGGAUGUUUUCAUUAA